AAAUUGGAGAGUUUGAUCCUGGCUCAGAACGAACGUUGGCGGCGUGCUUAACACAUGCAAGUCGAGCGCGAACGGGUCUUCGGACCUUAGUAGAGCGGCGAACGGGUGAGUAACACGUGAGUAACCUGCCCUGGAGUUCGGGAUAACCAUCCGAAAGGAUGGCUAAUACCGGAUAAGCC
rnacentral:rRNA from 1 species